AUUGAACGCUGGCGGCAGGCCUAACACAUGCAAGUCGAGCGGAGCGGCGGACGGGUGAGUAAUGCCUAGGAAUCUGCCUGGUAGUGGGGGAUAACGUCCGGAAACGGGCGCUAAUACCGCAUCCUAUCAGAUGAGCCUAGGUCGGAUUGGCUAUGGGGUGGGGUAAAGGCCUACCUAGGCGACGAUCCGUACCUGGUCUGAGAGGAUGAACAGUAACAUUGGAAUGGAGACACGGUCCAGACUCCUACGGGAGGCAGCAUGGGGGAAUAUUGGACAAGGGGCGAAGGCCUGAUCCAGCCAUGCCGCGUGUGUGAAGAAGGUCUUCGGAUUGUAAAGCACUUUAAGUUGGGAGGCGUUACCAACAGAAUAAGCACCGGCUAACUUCGUGCCAGCAGCCGCGGUAAUUC
rnacentral:rRNA from 1 species